rnacentral:lncRNA from 1 species
GUCCUUUUCAAUCUCAUUUUGCAGAUGAGGAAACUGAGGCAGACUGGUUUAAGUGACUUGCCCAGGGUCACAAAGCCAGUAUGUGUCUGAGGCUUCACAGGACCUCUUAAGUCUGCUGGUUUGUAGAGGGCAAACUAGAUCUUGUGCAGUGCACAUAUUAGCCACCAGAGGGUAGUGGGUAGCCAGGAAUUGUCCCUCUUGGCCCCACCCCUUCAUCCUUAUCAUGUAGUCUUACUCUCAUAGCUUCCCUAGCACUACUAGGAUGCUAGACAAAAGGCACAGCUUCUGAGGUGGGAGACUCACCACCUCUGUCUUCUAAUAGACCAGAUGUUCCAGGUCUAUGGAAGCAUGAAAGAUACCCUCAGCGGCUUGUAGUCAUUCAUUAUUUUUCCCUGAGGGGACUGAAGCAUUGAAAAUCCUAGCACACCAAGGUCCCUGAAGAACUUGGCCUUGAGUAAUGAGAACUCUGGAGAAGGCCGGAGGCCCAGCUUGGGGAUGUUAUGUAUACUAGCACGAGGAGGUGGGGCUAAAUGCUCAGCUUGAGUAUCCUUGAGACAAGAUGAAUUCCAGCCUGGACACCUGAGGGUGAGUGUGGUGCUUGGGAAAGCACAACGGAAUUGGAAGUCGAGGUCCUGGGCUCAAACCCCAACUCCACCCUUAACGACCUCUGUGACGAUAAGUCACUUCUCUCAUUUCCUCAACAGCAGCGUAAAGAUAAUGAAUGCUCACCUCCUCUGACCCUUCAUAAGGAAUGCAGUUUACAAAAUGCUGAAGAGGGAGUUCCCGACUGCCUCAGUGUGGGGAAGUCCCACUACCAAUGCAGUCCAACAACUCAGCUGGGCCUGGCAGGUGAGAGGGAGGAAUGCUGUCCAUCUGGCCACGCAGGAGCACCUGGAGUUCUUCCACUCCCCAAGACCUGACUCUGCUCUCUGCCAACACACAAGACAAGAAAUCAAUAAGAACAUCUGUUUCCCCCAUGUCAGCUCAGAAGGAAACAAGUCCAGAGCAGGACUUCACAAAUCCCAGGGUCUGGAAGACCAUAGGGUAAUUGGCUCUCUUGCUUAAAUUAUAUUCGAUGCCAACAAACGGUCCCAUUUCUGUGUACCUCUUACACCGUGUAUCAUCACCCCCAAUUUACAGAGGAGGAAACUGAGCUGAAUCAAAAGGACUUAACACAGGUGGUGUCAAAGGGUCUCCUAGCUCCAAGCCCAGCAUUCUUUUCUCUCUCUUCCAUGUCCUCUCUGAUCCAGGGACGCUGGUCUCUUACUAACUGUUUUGCCAUGCCCAAAAUUCACUUCAGCCCUUCCCAGUCCUCAAUGUAGGGCCUUCUGAGAUGAUCUCCCACUGAUCCUGUAUACACCUGCAUACAUCUUGUUUGUACAUGGCUGUUGACAUGAGGUCUCCCCCAUUAAUUAGACUGAACUUUUUGAGGACAGGGACUCCUUUUGCCUUUCUUUUCUAACUCCAGUAUUUUGUUUGGCACAUAGUAGGCACUUAAUAAAUUAUUGUUUACUUGAGCA